rnacentral:rRNA from 1 species
GCAAGUCGAGGGGUACAGGGAUUAGCUUGCUAAUUUGCUGACGACCGGCGCACGGGUGCGUAACGCGUAUAGAACCUACCUUUUACAGGAGAAUAGCCCAGAGAAAUUUGGAUUAAAGCUCCAUAGUAUUAUAAAGUGGCAUCAUUUAAUAAUUAAACAUUUAUGGGUAAAAGAUGGCUAUGCGUUCUAUUAGCUAGAUGGUAAGGUAACGGCUUACCAUGGCAACGAUAGAUAGGGGUCCUGAGAGGGAGAUC